UUCGAAACAUAACGGUCAUCUACCACUCUACGCUGAGGAAAAGAGAUAAGCAUUUCAACAGAGCCACAUCACUGAAUGGAAUUACACACCAAGCCAUUCCACUGUCCUUCCUGUGUGUUUGGCUUUUUCAGAACCUGCACGGUGAGUCUCCUUGAAUAACUGACUGUACAACUCUU